GACGAACGCUGGCGGCGUGCUUAACACAUGCAAGUCGAACGGAAAGGCCCUGCUUUUGUGGGGUGCUCGAGUGGCGAACGGGUGAGUAACACGUGAGUAACCUGCCCUUGACUUUGGGAUAACUUCAGGAAACUGGGGCUAAUACCGGAUAGGAGCUCCUGCUGCAUGGUGGGGGUUGGAAAGUUUCGGCGGUUGGGGAUGGACUCGCGGCUUAUCAGCUUGUUGGUGGGGUAGUGGCUUACCAAGGCUUUGACGGGUAGCCGGCCUGAGAGGGUGACCGGCCACAAUGGGACUGCGAGACGGACCAGACUCGUAUGGGAGGCAGCAGGGGGGAGUAUUGCAGAGUGGGCGGAAGCCUGAUGCAGCAACGCCGCGUGCGUGAUGCCGGCCUUCGGGUUGUAAACCGCUUUCUCCUUUGACGAAGAGUGAGUGACGGUAAUGGGUAAAGAAGCACCGGCUAACUACGUG
rnacentral:rRNA from 1 species